AACAAACGUUAGCGGCGUGCUUCAUACAUGCAAGUCGAACGAGAAAGUAUCCUUCGGGGUGCAAGUAAAGUGGCGAACUGGUGAGUAACACGUGAGCAACUUGCCUCAAAGUUCGGGAUAACCUUGAGAAAUUGGGGCUAAUACCGGAUGUGGUUCGAACGACUCAUGUCGAUCGAAUUAAAGAUUACCUCUCCAUGGAAGUAAUCGCUUUGAGAUGGGCUCGCGGCCUAUUAGCUUGUUGGUGAGGUAACGGCUCACCAAGGCAACGAUGGGUAGCCGGCCUGAGAGGGUGGUCCCCCACAAUGGCACUGAAACACGGGCCAUACGUCUACGGACGGCAGCAGUGGGGAAUAUUGCACAAUGGACGAAAGUCUGAUGCAGCAACGCCGCGUGCGCGAUGAAGGCCUUCGGGUUGUAAAGCGCUUUUCUGGGGGAAGAGGAAGGACGGUACCCCAGGAAUAAGUCUCGGCUAACUACGUG
rnacentral:rRNA from 1 species